rnacentral:tRNA from 1 species
AGUCUUAUAUUCAUUAAUGAUAUAAAAUUGCAAAUUUUAAGGUGUAAUAAUUACUAAGGCUU